ACUUAAACGAUGCCGUCUUCUUCGGCACUUUAUACAUGGGCUACGCGUAUCAGAUUAGGGCUGGCCUGUUCUCGCAAAAACAAGAGUACGAGACCGCUCAAGGCGAGUGUGCCGAGUAGACUCGCCGAAUCACCCGCGAAUCAAUAAAGGAAAAGCUCUCUCGUCCUCCUAUGACCAGAAGAUUGAACAAGGAAAGUGGUUUUGACAAGUUAUCUGUGGUGUUGGAAAAUGAGUUCUGAAGCUUUACAUGCUUUGAAGGCUUAUCGACAGCUUCUCAAAGCUAUUAAGAAACACAUUGGCAAGGAAGAUUACAAGAAGCAUUUUGGUGAAUUCGCAAUGCUAGAAUUCCGGAAGAACAGCAAUCUGUCUGACCAAUCAUCCAUUCAGCAGAAAAUCAAGCUUGCACGUGAUUAUACUUUUCUGCUUAGUAGUGUGCACCAUCACAAGGAAUUGUUAUUCUCUUACAAUAUUGCUGUGGAUAGAUCAGAUGAAAUGAAAAGAAUACUAGGAAAAUCGGCUGCGAGUGUAGGUCUUCAGCUUCCUGACGUUUAUCAGUCCUGAUAAUCAAGAGGUAACUUUUUCCUUUGUAGCAGCAGGCAGCAAAAUUUAGCAGCAGCAAAAGUUUCUUGAUUUCUUCCAAGUUUAGCCAGCAUCAUCAUCAACAAGGACAGGAAAAUGGGUUCAGAGACUUUCCUAGAGGUGAUAUUGGCUAUUCUCUUACCUCCUGUCGGGGUUUUCCUGCGUUAUGGCUGUGGAGUUGAGUUCUGGAUAGAUUUGCUGCUGACCAUAUUGGGAUAUAUUCCAGGGAUUAUAUAUGCCAUUUAUGUAUUGGUUGGAUAGUUAAGAUUUGAUUUUUUUUUAAUUCCUUGUUUUGGUUAAGUAAUUAAUGAAGGACUUGCUUGUUCUUAAUUUCAAUGUCUCAAGACUUUCUUCUUGUUUCAAA